UUUUGCUGUGUUGUAAGUUUUUGCAUGAUGGCCUUUCUCAGACUCUGAAUCUGAUGUGUACAGAUGAACUCAGGAGCCUGUUAAAGUUGCCAGGGAAUAUAUUUUCUUGUUUUACAGCUGAAGACCAAAAACACAAAGAAAAUCAGUCACAGCUAGCAAGUCAAACCGGUCCUGAUGAA